rnacentral:rRNA from 1 species
AUUGAACGCUGGCGGCAUGCCUUACACAUGCAAGUCGAACGGCAGCACGGGUGCUUGCACCUGGUGGCGAGUGGCGAACGGGUGAGUAAUACAUCGGAACAUGUCCUGUAGUGGGGGAUAGCCCGGCGAAAGCCGGAUUAAUACCGCAUACGAUCUACGGAUGAAAGCGGGGGACCUUCGGGCCUCGCGCCAUAGGGUUGGCCGAUGGCGGAUUAGCUAGUUGGUGGGGUAAAGGCCUACCAAGGCGACGAUCAGUAGCUGGUCUGAGAGGACGACCAGCCACACUGGGACUGAGACACGGCCCAGACUCCUACGGGAGGCAGCAGUGGGGAAUUUUGGACAAUGGGCGAAAGCCUGAUCCAGCAAUGCCGCGUGUGUGAAGAAGGCCUUCGGGUUGUAAAGCACUUUUGUCCGGAAAGAAAUCCUUGGCCCUAAUACGGUCGGGGGAUGACGGUACCGGAAGAAUAAGCACCGGCUAACUACGUG